GACGAACGCUGGCGGCGUGCUUAACACAUGCAAGUCGAACGGAAAGGCCCUGCUUUUGUGGGGUGCUCGAGUGGCGAACGGGUGAGUAACACGUGAGUAACCUGCCCUUGACUUUGGGAUAACUUCAGGAAACUGGGGCUAAUACCGGAUAGGAGCUCCUGCUGCAUGGUGGGGGUUGGAAAGUUUCGGCGGUUGGGGAUGGACUCGCGGCUUAUCAGCUUGUUGGUGGGGUAGUGGCUUACCAAGGCUUUGACGGGUAGCCGGCCUGAGAGGGUGACCGGCCACAUUGGGACUGAGAUACGGCCCAGACUCCUACGGGAGGCAGCAGUGGGGAAUAUUGCACAAUGGGCGGAAGCCUGAUGCAGCAACGCCGCGUGCGGGAUGACGGCCUUCGGGUUGUAAACCGCUUUCGCCUGUGACGAAGCGUGAGUGACGGUAAUGGGUAAAGAAGCACCGGCUAACUACGUGCCAGCAGCCGCGGUGAUACGUAGGGUGCGAGCGUUGUCCGGAUUUAUUGGGCGUAAAGGGCUCGUAGGUGGUUGAUCGCGUCGGAAGUGUAAUCUUGGGGCUUAACCCUGAGCGUGCUUUCGAUACGGGUUGACUUGAGGAAGGUAGGGGAGAAUGGAAUUCCUGGUGGAGCGGUGGAAUGCGCAGAUAUCAGGAGGAACACCAGUGGCGAAGGCGGUUCUCUGGGCCUUUCCUGACGCUGAGGAGCGAAAGCGUGGGGAGCGAACAGGCUUAGAUACCCUGGUAGUCCACGCUGUAAACGGUGGGUACUAGGUGUGGGGUCCAUUCCACGGGUUCCGUGCCGUAGCUAACGCUUUAAGUACCCCGCCUGGGGAGUACGGCCGCAAGGCUAAAACUCAAAGGAAUUGACGGGGCCCCGCACAAGCGGCGGAGCAUGCGGAUUAAUUCGAUGCAACGCGUAGAACCUUACCUGGGUUUGACAUGGAUCGGGAGUGCUCAGAGAUGGGUGUGCCUCUUUUGGGGUCGGUUCACAGGUGGUGCAUGCCUGUCGUCAGCUCGUGUCGUGAGAUGUUGGGUUAAGUCCCGCAACGAGCGCAACCCUUGUUCACUGUUGCCAGCACGUUAUGGUGGGGACUCAGUGGAGACCGCCGGGGUCAACUCGGAGGAAGGUGGGGAUGACGUCAAGUCAUCAUGCCCCUUAUGUCCAGGGCUUCACGCAUGCUACAAUGGCUGGUACAGAGAGUGGCGAGCCUGUGAGGGUGAGCGAAUCUCGGAAAGCCGGUCUCGGUUCGGAUUGGGGUCUGCAACUCGACCUCAUGAAGUCGGAGUCGCUAGUAAUCGCAGAUCAGCAACGCUGCGGUGAAUACCUCCCGGGGCU
rnacentral:rRNA from 1 species